AUUGAACGCUGGCGGCAUGCUUUACACAUGCAAGUCGAACGGUAACAGGCCUUCGGGUGCUGACGAGUGGCGAACGGGUGUGUAAUGCAUCGGAACGUACCCAGAGGUGGGGGAUAACGCAGCGAAAGCUGUGCUAAUACCGCAUGUGAUCUGAGGAUGAAAGCGGGGGACCGAGCAGCAAUGUUUGGCCUCGCGCCUUUGGAGCGGCCGAUGUCGGAUUAGCUAGUUGGUGGGGUAAAGGCCUACCAAGGCGACGAUCCGUAGCUGGUCUGAGAGGACGACCAGCCACACUGGGACUGAGACACGGCCCAGACUCCUACGGGAGGCAGCAGUGGGGAAUUUUGGACAAUCGGCGCAAGCCUGAUCCAGCAAUGCCGCGUGCGGGAAGAAGGCCUUCGGGUUGUAAACCGCUUUUGGCAGGAACGAAACGGUGUCCGCUAAUACCGGGCGCUAAUGACGGUACCUGCAGAAUAAGCACCGGCUAACUACGUG
rnacentral:rRNA from 1 species